rnacentral:rRNA from 2 species
ACGGAGGCAGCAGUGGGGAAUAUUGGGCAAUGGGCGCAAGCCUGACCCAGCAAUGCCGCGUGAAGGAAGAAGGCUUUCGGGUUGUAAACUUCUUUUAAGUGGGACGAUAAUGACGGUACCACUUGAAUAAGCUCCGGCUAACUACGUGCCAGCAGCCGCGGUAAUACGUAGGGAGCAAGCGUUAUCCGGAUUUACUGGGUGUAAAGGGCGUGUAGGCGGGACAGCAAGUCAGAUGUGAAAGCACGAGGCUCAACUUCGUGUCUGCAUUUGAAACUGCUGUUCUUGAGUGCUGGAGAGGCUAACGGAACUCCUAGUGUAGCGGUGAAAUGCGUAGAUAUUAGGAAGAACACCAGUGGCGAAGGCGGUUAGCUGGACAGUAACUGACGCUGAGGCGCGAAAGCGUGGGUAGCAAACAGGAUUAGAUACCCUGGUA